AUCCAGAUGACGAGUCACAAAUAGGACGAAAUGCGCGUUGUUCUGGAU
rnacentral:hammerhead_ribozyme from 1 species